AUGGGACUGUAAGCAGCCUGUUGUGCUCCGAGCCUGUGAGUCACAGCACAGAGAGAGGACUUGCGCUCUUGGCUCUACUGCUGGAAGAGUCUUAAGAGUGUAAGGAGGGGCAAGGGAGGUGUUCUGGAUCCUUACUGUCUGUAGCAUGUUGCAUCAAACAUCCGACAGCAAUACCACAGUAUCGUCAGGAUAUCAGAAUAGAAAACAGAAGACUUGGGAUCACACUCAAGUUUUUUAACAGCCGUGGAUCUGCUCUUAAUACAGCACGUCAAUUAAUCAAGUCCCUGACCUGGGUUAGCAGCCACAGCUUCCAGGCCAGUCAGCAGAUGCAGCAGUGGACCCAAGAUCUACAUUUCAUCUAAGCUCCUUUCAAAACCAGCAUAAAAUUCCUUCUGAUGCCAGGAAGAGUACUUGAAAGCUCUGACGACAAGUCCCUCCAGCAGCUGGAGCAGAUAGAGCUAGGGAG
rnacentral:lncRNA from 1 species